AUUUAACAGUAAAAAGCAAUGUCUUCUUCACUGACCCGUCGUCCUCCUAUUUUUUCCUUUUUCCCCAUCUCAUUUCGGACAUCUAUCUUCAAUUCACGCCCCUUCCCCUCUGCCGAAAUUCACCACUUCCCCAAGCGAAACCAACGCCAUCCCCACCGCAAUAAACCACUCCUGUGCUUUCAUCGUGGCUGUGUUGUACUUGCUGCAACACUUUCGGCCCGCAGGUGAUGCACCAAGACGGCGUUGGUGUUCGUCGGGGAUGUUGGAGCACCAUAAAGGUAACCGUACCCCUCUGACCAUUUUUUAUUUUCUUCCCCUCUGCAAAAUUCUUUUCCCCUCUGCACAAUUUUUCAACUGCAGUGGGUAGAGAUCAUUCCCACGCCUUUGACCUUAUCUUGGGGAAUCUUGCCUUUCUAGAUUUUCAUUAUCAAAAACAGUCGCCCUAUUUGCCUUUUUCCAUUUCAAAAUCCUCUAUAAAUUGAAAAUGACCACACUCAGAACACCCACCACCACCACUGUCUGCAUCCAUCGCACCGCCGCCCCUACGACUACCAUUAAACGCCGCAUUGUAUUCGCAGCCACCACGGCUCCUCAGGCGCGGUCCUUCGAGGAGGAACACUAUUCCACCAAAUGAACAUAUCUUCAAUGGGUCAGGCAUGUCUUGCAAGUCGAUGGGCAGCCUCAUUUGUGAAUCUGCUGCUAUGCUGAAUACUGCACUGAAGGAAAGUUUGCAUCAAACUUUUGACAACUGCUACCACAGAUCUUAUAGUUGCAUUCGACUCAGUUGAGCUGUUAACCUCUUCAACCAGAAACAAACAAUCACUUUCAAUAAUCAGCUUAGGAAUGCCCAUAUUCAUGCACAAUUGUAGCCCCCUCAAUAAGCCCACAACUUCUACUUGUUUUGGUUCCAAAAAAACAGUUUCAACUCUACUAACUGCCAUUAUCACCUCUCUCAGAUGGUUCCUCAAAACAACACAUAUACCAGCUUUGUUUAAGUCAAAGAAAAGGGCUCCAUCAAUAUUUAGCUUAAGAGAAUCUUUAGGAGGGGGUGGCUAUCUGUACAACAGGUGCUUAGAAAUGGGCAAGGAAUGUCUGAUCGAUGCACUUUGCAAUUUCUUUGUAAAAGCAAAUCCAAUAACUUUCUGUGGUGGUAAAGCAAUUUGUUCAUUAACCAUCUUGUUCCUUCUAAACCAAAAAGUCCAAACCAUCAAGAAAAAAAUCAGCUAACUCUUCAGUUGAACCAUUAAAUAGAAUAUCCAUUGCAGUAGUGAUAAAAGAAUUGAGUUGGGCUCCAUUUUGAAUGAUAAAAAACCUGCGCAUUAGGAAUUCAUGGAUAGAAGAGCAUAAAAUCAAAACAUGGCACAAAUCCUCCUCCAUUGGAUGUUGACAAAAGCAACAUUGCCCCUUAAUGUCCAGUUUUCUCUUAAUCAAAUUUGCCUUUAUUGGUAAGCUGUCUUUAAAUGCCAUCCAAGCAAAAACCUUAACCUUAGGAGGAACUUUUAACUUCCAGAGAGCAGUCCAAAACUUUUUCAUCAAAGCCCCAUUUGAGGACUCCCCAGAUUCAGGUUCCAAGCAAGUUUUAAAGAAUCUGUAAGCACUUUUAACAGAAAAAGAUCCUGACUUUUCAUGUUCCCACAUCCAUUGAUCUAUAGAUCUAGUAUGACUAGGGUGCAGCCUAAUAACAACAUUAACAAUGUUUGGAUUGAAUAGAGUUCUAACCUUUUCAAGAUUCCACCAUUUAGUACUUGGAUCAAUAAGUGAGAAAACUUGAUUCUCCAAUUGGCUAAGUUGCUCAACACUCUGCUCAGCUCUUAGUUCAUGUCUCAAGUUUCGAAAUCCAGGAACCCAGGCAUCAUCUUUAAAAUAUGAAUAGAGCUUCCAUAUCCCACGUUCCACGUUCCACCUUUUAGUAACGGGUUUUUUGCCUCCCAUAUUCCUCUCCACGUAUAGGAGGGAUUACCUCCAAGAGAGGCUAUCAAUAGGCUCCCAUCAGAAAAGUAUCUAACAGCAUACCUCUUGUGGAAUAAACUUUCCUUAUUCUGCAAUAACCUCAAAGCUUGUUUUGCCAACAUAGCCAUAUUGAAGAUUUCUAGCUCCUUGAAUCCCAUUCCUCCCGCAUAUUUUGAAUUGCACAUUUUCUUCCAACUUAGCCAAUGGACCUUUCUCUCUUCAUUCUUUUGACCCCACCAAUAUCUGGCCAUCAUACUCUCUAUUUUAGAACAAAGCUUUGUUGGAAACCUGAAGCAACUCAUGGCAUAAGAUGGAAUUGCCAGAGCUACUGCUUUUAGGAGAAUUUCCCUUCCCCCUUGAGAAAACAUAUUCCCUUUCCAUUCUUGCAACUUGAGCCAAACUUUGUGCUUAAUACCUACAAAUGCCCUUGCUUUUGAGCUAUCAACUACUAGGGGCAUGCCAAUAUACUUAUCAUAUUGCUGCACUUGAGAUGAGCUCCACAAGUUCAUAAUAGCCUGCCUGUUAUUCUGUUCCACAUUGGCACUGAAAACCGUUGCAGUUUUCUCUCUAUUCAACUAUUGGCCUGAAGCAACUUCAUAUUGUUUUAACAAAGCUUGCAAUCGUACAUUGGUGUCCACAUUUGCAGCACAAAAAAUCAAGCUAUCAUCUGCAAAUGGUAGGUGAUUUAGCUUUGGGGCCCCAUGACAAAUUUGUAUGCUAGGAAUAGACUUAGUACUUUCCACCUCUCUCAAAAGACUAAUCAAUCCUUCGGUACACAAGAGAAAGAGGUUAGGAGAAAUAGGGUUACCUUGCCUCAAACCUCUUGAAGGAACAGUAAAACCAGUAGGAGAGCCAUUAAUCAAAACAGAGAAAGAAUGAGACCUAAAACAAAUCAUCAGAAGCUGAAUUAAGCUUUCAUGGAAGCCCAGUUUGCUCAUAAUAGAUUCACUAAAACUCCAUUCUACUUUCUCAUAGACUUUGCUCAUAUCAAGCUUAAUAGGCAUAAAUCCUUUCUUUCCUUUCUUCUUCCUCUUUAAAAAAUGUAAAAUUUCAUAGGCCACAAGGACAUUAUCUGCGAUGAGUCUACCAGGUAUGAAAGAGGAUUGUGAAUCAAAGAUGACCACAGGUAAUACUUGCUUGAUUCUAUUGGCAAUAACCUUAGAAAUUAGCUUAUAUAUGACGUUACAUAAACUAAUAGGUUUAAGGUCAUUAACUGUUUAUGGGGACGUUUUUUAAGGAACCAGGGUGAUGAAGGUAUGAUUAAGGGCUUGAGGCAUUUCACAUUGGUUCAAAACAUGUAAGACAGCAGAGGUGAUGGAACUACCAAUGUCAGGCCAGAAUUUCUAGAAGAAGAGAGGUGGCAUGCCAUCUUGCCCUGGUGCUUUGUUGGGAUGCAUCUCUUUCAAAGCCUAAAUAACUUCUACAGCUGUGUAGAGUCUAAUUUGCCAUACCAGCUAUGCUCCUCCCGACAAAGGCACCCACUGAAGGACUUAUAUUGAUGAUUGGAAGUAUCGAGGAGCAUCGAGAUAAGUAGCUAUAACCAUGCUUUUACACAAAGUUCUCUUAUGAAAGAAUGUCUCUCUUCAAAUGUUAUCGUAAAGAAAUUGUAAAUGUAUAUACUAUGUACAAGCUUUUCUUGGUAGCCCCUGUUAAGUAUUCUAUUAAUUAUAAUUGUUUGUAUGUGUAUAAGGUAAUUUAUGCACGUAGAUGCUAAGUCAUGAGAUUUUCAUACAUCUUCUCUCAAAGUAUUAACGUCUUAUUUAUACGUAGCAUGACAUGAAAUGCUAUUUUUCAAAAAUAAAUGUAUAUGCAUUGGACUAAAAGAAGAUAAUGAAAAUGUUUAACUGCAACGAAAGAAGAGAAAUGAAAAGAAUGUUAAGGUACAAAAAUUUGUAACUGCAUGAAAGAUGAUGUUUAAGCUCAUUUAAACAAUGACUUUUUUCUAUGAAUGAACUGUUAAAUGAAAAGGAUUGAAAAAUAAAGGACUAAAUGAAAAAAAGAUAGGACUGAAAGGAAAUUAAUAUUUUAAUAUAUGAAACUAUGUAAUGGCUAUGAUUGAUAAAUGAAUGAUGGUACCAAAGGAAUGGGCAGAUUGUAAUGCCAGGUAAGUUGUAUUGGCGGUACACCCAGUGCUGCACCCUGAGAGAAAAUGAUUCCUAACCCACGGCUACGGGUGAAAUCAGGUCUAAAAGACCGCUAACCCCAACACACGGGGCAUAAUAGUGUGUACAAGCUAAAUGAAAGUAAAACAUGAAAGUAAUGUUAUGCAUGAAAAUAAUGUUUAAAUGUUUAUGCAUGAAAGUAUUGUUUGAACGUUUAUGCUUGAAAGUACUGUUUCAGUAUUAUGCAUAAAAGUAUUGUUCAAAUGUUUAUGCAUGAAAGUAUGAUUUAUUUUUUAAACUGUUUACGCAUGAAAACAUUGUCAAAGUAGCAAAUGUGUAUGUAUGCAAGUUUUCAAAAGAAAAUAUUAGACGAUUAAUAAGUUAACAACAUGGUGUAUUGCUUACUGAGUAUUAGACUCACUUUGUAUUUAUGCUUUAAACGUAUAGGUAAUGAUGAAAAGGUCAGGGAGCAGGGCAUUAUUGCAGAGGGAGAGGUAGAUGUUUAGUGUCUUCUAUGUUGGUUCGACCUUAUAUGAAUUAUGGGUUAUGUUUAUGGAUGUUUUGUUUUUAUGUUGGGAUGAGUCCCUUGUCAGGACGUUUUAUUGGGUUUGACUUUAAACCAUGUAUCUUUUGGUAUUAUAUAACCAUUAUGGUGGGGUGAUAAUAAACUCUUAUAUAUUGACUUAGUGCCUUCUUGUAUGUAUAAUAGAGAUGGAGUCUUUUCCUAACUAGAACAAUUAUGUUUUUACGAAAGUAUGAUAGAUCUUGAGAGUCUGUUUAUGGAGGAAUGUUAAAUAGAAUGUU